rnacentral:lncRNA from 1 species
UUUAAUCAAAUUACACAACUUAUUCCACUAUGGACAUACUACAAGUUAUUUACAUACACUCAUCAACAUAACGUAACUUGUAACCACCAAAAGACAGGCUAAAUUCCAAUAGAACGAAAAAGAGUUUUAUUUGCAUUAUGUGACAUUUCAGCCAUAAAGAUGCCCGCAACCAAAAAGAUGUCUUAAGCCGUUCCUUUGCUCUCCUCGCAACAGCUCCAACUACAUCCAAAUCAAAUAAAUAUGCAAAUUAAUCUUACAGAAUUCAUGUAAUUAACCUUUAAAAUGACAUCUUAUAAAAUUCAAAAGCUGAAUGUAUAUGGAGUAAAAGAAGAAGAAAGGGGAAGUAGGACACCUGAACCAUUUUCUUGCAAUGUCAUAGGAACCUGGAUAGAUAGACAGGUGAUGAAGGUCUCUGAUUUAUUUUUUAGUUUAUGCUUUUCAUAAAUUCUAAAAUUAUCAUAAGAUGGGAUAACAGGUUGGAGGAUUGGAGAUUUGGCAGUGCUUGGGUCUCCUUGCAUUUGCAAACCUCCAAACAUAGAAAUCGACAAUAGAAGAAGAAAAGAAAGCACUGAAACAGCCCCCUUAUAAAAUCAAAUCAAAGCAUUGAAAUCAAGAAUAGAAGAAGGAAUAAAAAAACAUCGACAGCCCAUCAUCCAGCAGCCUUUCUCCUCCAGUGGAGGACGUGAAAGAGGACUUGCUGGAUGAAGGAACCCUUCUCCGAUAGCAUUUCACCUUCUAUCUUGCCAGAUUCAUCAAAGAAAUCACUAAAAAAUUAGGAAAAAAAUCUUAGUGAGGAACUCACGAGGGGCACGGUGCUACCAAUGCUCAAGCACCUUCACAAGGGUUAUGGCUGCUAGCGCUCAUCCACCUUCACGACGGUUGUGGCCACCGGCGCUCAAUCUCCUUCACGAUGGGUAGCCGGCGAGAUGCCUCUUUAAGCUAGGAUUUUUUAUUUUAAGGAAAUGGAUGGAAAG